ACGAUAUAAAUAACAAUCAACGAACACACAACGGGCCGGCAGAUGGAUUCAAUCAAAAGGUCAAAAUCUAGCAUCUCAGUAUUGUUUCAUAUGUUACAAUUAAAUUAUUGCAAAAUACAAAUCUUGAUUUUUAGUAAUCAAAUAAUACCCUCCCGGAGCAGGAUCUAUGGAGAAGAAUCUUCUAUGCUAUGAACCUUCUGUUUGAGAUUGCAACUGCGGUUCUUGAUUACUUGUCUUCUCAGCAGCGUCAACCCCGGUAUGCGCUAAGUGGUAUGAUACUGUCAAUCACUGUCAUGGCCAUCUCCUUGAUUCAGCUUGCUUACACCGGUGGAAAGGAAGAGGUUUGUUGGCAGUGGAAGGGCUGGAUACCUUGGUUUUAUCAUCAAGGUCCAUCUAACAAGCCUUUUGGAAAUCCUGUUCACGUUGUGGAAUUGCUUUUCUCCGUCUCUCAAUGUGUUUCUGCAAUAAUUGCCUACCAUUAUUUGUCUCGAGACCAAAACAAUCCCACCCAAUUUUCUGUUUACCCUAUAGCCUUCGCUUUUUGUUUGUUGUGUAUCAGUUUUAGACGACGCGAGCCAUGAGUUUCAUCCUAGUUAAGGUUUCGGAGAAAAGCUGAUAAUGUGGACAUUUGUAUGCGCCGUGAUUUUUCUUUCUUUUGUUUUCUAUUUCGUUCCAAGGUUUUUGCUUGGUGGUUCGUCCUAGACUGUAAUAUAGAAGUUUAUGUAAAAUGACAGUACUUUCGGCUUCCCCUUCAUGACCCGGAGGGAGAGAAGUUUAUCUCCACCAGCUCCUUCUUGAUUCAUAUGUUCAAAAACACCUUCAAAAUGGGAAACAAAACAUUUGGCAGAAAAUACAUUAAAAUCAUGCAAAGCAAACACUAAAUUAUAGCAUUUUAAAAAGAUACGCUGAAACUACAUAAAAAAUCAUGCAAGACAUUUGGCAGAAAAUCCAUAAAAAAAAAUAUAUAUAUAUUAUUUUUUUUUUUUAAUUAAAAUGCAUUUUAAAAAGAUACACUGAAAUUAAAGCCUCGUUUGUUUUAUGAAAAGUGAAUUUUAGAAACCACUUUCCAAAUUUUUCUAUAUUUGUUUGCCAUUAGAAAAUUGAUGAAUGAAAAAUAUUUUCCAAUAAAAAAAAUUAGUUUGGUUUUUAGGAAAGUAUUUUUCUUUUAUUUUGGGUAGAAAAUACUUUUCAUAAACUAUUAAAAAAUUAAAUAUAUCAUAUUAUUUGUUGAUUAUAUCAAAUUUGGUAUUCAAACUUUUGAUUUCUAUAUAUUUUGUUUUGAAUUUUUUUUUUAAAUUUUAUCCCUUAGAAUUGGAUUUAAUUUGAUUUUUAUAUUAACUUUGAUUCUCAUUUUUAUGAUUGUUAUUUGUUUUUCUCUUAUCAUUUUUUUAAUUUAAAUUUUUUAUCUAUCAAAUUUGGUCCUCAUUCUUUAUAUUGUUAUUGAUUUUAUUUGAAAUAAUGUAUGAAAUUGUUAUUAUUAUUAUUUUAAUUUCAUCAUCUUUCAAAAUUUUUUAUCUGUUAGAUUUGAUUUUGUUUAGAGAACCUCUUUUAAAUAACAAAUAUUUUUUUUGCUAUGCAUUUAAAUUUUGAAGAAUUGUUUUUUAUUUAUCUAUAAUUUUUUUUAAUCUUUUGUAUAGAUGAUUUUUAUUUGAAAAAAUAUAAAACUUUUCUUUUCAGGUAAUAUUUCUAAUAUGUGUAACAUUAAAUAAUAAUUUUCUCAUUUUUAUUUUAUUUAAUCAAUUUAAUUUGUGUCUCUAUUUAUAUUAUCGUUAGAAUGAAAAAAAAAUUAUCUUAAUAAAUAAAUUUAGUAAACACAACCGUAUAAAUAUCUCAUCCUACGAGAUUAAAUAUUUUUUUUCUAAUUACUUUUUUUAAAAAAUUAAUGCUUUUCUUAUUUUGUUUUAUUUAUAUGCAGAUUAAUACCCUUUUUCUCUUUCAUUUUAUUUAGAGAUCAUAUUUUAAAUGACAUGUAUUUUUUUUUUGUGCAUUUAAAUUCUAAAGAGUUUUAUUUAUUCAUUUAUAAUUGUGUUUUUUUGUAUAGAUAAAUUUUAUUUUUGAAAAUAUUUUUUUUAGAUAAUAUUUAUAAUAUGUGCAACAUUGAAUAGUGUUUUUUUCUUUUAUUUUAUUCAAUCAAUUUAAUUUGUAUCUCUAUUUCUAUUAUUAUUUGAUUGAAUAAAAAAAUUAUUUUUAUAAAUAAAUUUAGCAAACAUAACUACGUAAAUGUCCCAUCUUGCGAGAUUAAAUAUUUUGAUCUACACCUGUGUGUUUAUUUUUUCUAAUUUUAUUUUUAGUUAUUAUUUAUGAUUUUUUUAUUUAUUAAUAUAAAUAUUUCUUGAUUUAUUUGAUUAUAUAUAUAAAAAUAUUUUUUAUUUUUACUGAAACAUUUUUAAUUUUAAAAUCACAUUGAAAAAACUCGUGGAUAUAUAUAUAUAUAUAUAUAUAUAUAUAUAUAUAUAUAUAUAUAUAUAUUUUAAUCUAAUCAGCAGCAAAACAGUCAAAUAUUUAGCGUACGUCUUGCGUGACAAAGCAGCAAUCAUAAACACCACGCAUUAUAAGUGUAGUCACCGCUCUGUGACCACAUGACCAUAAGUUCUCUGAUCAACAGGCGUGCGUCCCCAUUGUCGUCUUGUAAUUAUUCUUUCAAUUUUCAAUCGGUAAAAGGCAGUCUUUUUUUACACGUGUUUGCUUUUACUCGUCCUUCACUGUGUCUGUCUUCUUGCAUUCUUUUAUUAUUAUUUGUUAAUUAUAAAUAUUCAAAAUAAUUUAUUUAUAUCUUGAUUAAUUUUUUGAAAUAUUAAAAUUAAUAAUUAUAUAAAUUUUUAAUUAUUCUUAAUUAUUUUAAAAUUUAUACCACUUGAAAAUAUAAUUUUAAAAAUAAAUUUAAAAUUUAACUAAUUAAACUAUUUCUCAGGCAACUUUUUCUUUCCAUUUUGUUUAUUAUUUUAAUUUCAGGCUGGUUAAAGUCCAUUAUUUUUUUAUUCAUUGACUUCCUCUCUUGUAAUUGUCCUCCACCUCGGGGUUGUUUGGGAUUGCGUUUGAAAAAUAUUUUUCAAAAAAUUUAAUUUUUUUUGUUUGGAAUUAAUUGUUUUUGAUAUUUUUAAAUUAUUUUAAUGUGCUGAUCUCAAAAAUAAUUUUAAAAACAUAAAAAAACAUUAUUGACAUGCUUUUCUAAGUGAAAAAUACUUUGAAAAGCAACAACAACCACAAUUCUAAAGACCCUAAUCUUCUUGCAUUAUUUUUUUUCUUCAUAAGGGACUUGAAUUGCUCGACUCUUUCCUUUUGUUUUGAUUAUUUUUUCACUAUUUGGUCCGUGAAAGGCCAGUCCUUUUUUGACUUUGAAGGGCUCGUAAAAUUUUCUAUGGUUAGGCGUUCUUUCUCAGCUCUUUCCUUCUGCAUUAUUUAUUUUUGGGUGGUAAAAGUUGAGCCUUCAUAAUAAACUGGGUCGGCAUUGCUCCUAACAUUCCAAGAGUUAAGGUUGCUAAGGGAGGAGAAAAGAAGACAUGGAGAGCGUUGCAUCUGGUUCUUUCCUUUCCAUUCCAAAUAAGAUUCAGAUUCUCGAAUAAAGAAAAAUAUGAUGAUGUCUUGGCUGUUUUCUGCUUUCCUGUUGGCGAUGGAUCUAGCUACCUCAAUACGUUUUUGGCAACGACGGGCUAUAUAUAUAUUAUCCAAAUAACACACACACACAGAGUUUUGACAAUUUUUGUUAUAUCUAUCUUAUAUCCAUUUAUUGUUGAUUUCUGAUGAUGCAGAAACUGUAGACAGUACUUUAAUCGUCAAUGGUACAAGCAGCUCCCAAGAAGAAGCAGAAAAUAGCGGUAAAUUCUUCGUUUAUGUAUUUUACUUUUAAGAAAAUCAGCUACACACACAUUUGCCAAAUACUUUUUAUAGUGACUGUAUCUUUAAUUUUAUAUUUUAUUCAUUCAAUUGUCUAACAAAAAGCAUAACGGGCAUUACUACUCUAAAAAACAGCGACUUAUUCUUGGAGCCACAGCCCUGAAAGAGAUCAUGCCGUCGCAGCUAUUCAACAACUAUUCAAAAUCCUAGCUGCCGCAACUAGGAUUCAAAAACACUACAGAGGUUUUCGGACCAGACGAAACCUAGCAGACAGUAUAAUUGCGGCUGAGUUACUAUGGUUUGUGUCUUGUAUAUAUGAUCCAUGUUUUCAUGUGAUUGUUCUGUGAGAUGGGAGUUCUUUUAUUCACUUUAAGUGUGAACUUUUUGUAGGCAAACCACCCUGUUUCAUAUCCAAAAAGUGGGUCAACUUGCAAUAACUGUAAACCUCGAUAGUGAAAAACAUAUCGAGUCACUCUUGGAAUGGUUAGAUACAAGAUUUAAAAAGGUACUUGAUUUGCUCUCCACUGUUUAAAAAUGGAGUUUGGUCUGUAAAACAAGUACUUACAAAAUACGUUUCUUGAGCUUCCAGUAUGGUAAGCUAUCCAGCGAUCAACUAGCCCUUCUACAUUGUUUGGAAACUGUAAGCCAACAUGCAAACUUCUGUGUUUCAAUACAUAUAUAUAUUCAGAACUGUACGUGUUAUUCUCAAUUCGUCAAUUUAAUCCCUUGUGUUAAUUAAACCUCGUAUUAAAUUAUUGGAUCAAAUAAGAUUAAUUCAUCCACUACGUUACAGAGUAACUCUAUUUUUUUAUUCUCUUUUUACAGGUGGUUCCACGACUUCGUUAUUCUCAGAAUUCACUUUUUUUUUAUCAGAUCUGGGGCGAUCAAUGUUUCUCGGGGAGGUAACAUGCAUCAUGAAAACCAGAAAUAUAUUUAUGCAUUAAAAUUAAGUGAUAUAAAUAAAUUAAUUAACCUUCUUUCAAUACUAAAUAAUCUCAAGCUUGAAUUUUUAUCUGGAAGUUCCAUUCAUUUUAGAUUUUGGUUCUUGUAGUUGGAAGUUUGACUCAUAUAAAAUUGGUGAUCUAAAGAGAGGAGAAUCAUUAUUCACCACUGGAAAGCCAACAUCUGUUGAGCUAAGAAUGGAUACGACAUCAUCAACUCAGGUUUUUUUUCUCCUCUUUUUGGAUAAGUUAUGUAUAUUUAAAAAAUGUACGAGAAGACUCGUUAUUUAGCCUAUAAUUGUAAUAAAUAGGUACUAAAAAAUGAGGGUAAAAUUUGAAAAAUUAAAAAGUUAUAGUAAAAUAUUUGUAAUUUAAUAUAUUAUUUAUAGAUUAAAAAAUCAUAAAAGAUAAAAUUAAAAAAAAUCAUAUGAGGCACACUUAAAAUAUAAGAAAACAAAACCCAAAAAACAAAAAAAAAAAAAAAAAACCAAGCAAACUCAGUCAAACCUUCUAAACCUAAUUUAAUUUUUAAGACUAGUCAUUUAUGAAAUCCUGAACCUGAGUUCAAUCAAGAAACUUAACUUUCAAUAAAUUUAAUUUUAAAGGAUGAAAUAAAAAAAAAAUUAAAAAAAAUAGCAAUUAAAAAAAUAAGAAUAAAACUUGACAUAAAAAAACCUAGAGGAUAAAACUUGAAAAAAAAUUAAAAAUGAUCUCAAACAAAAUAAAUUGCAAUUAAAAUAGUUAGGACCAAACUUGAAAGAUUAAGAAAUUAUAGGGAGUGAAAUUGAUAAUUAUUUGUAAUAUAAUAGAUUAUUUAUAGAUUAAAAAAUGGUAAGGGGUGAAAUAAAAAAAAUAAUUAGAAGGCUAAUCCAAUAAAACAAAACUGAAAAACAAAUAAACAAAAGUUUUUUUUUAAAAAAAGAAUAAAAAAUAAGAAAACAUCAAUUUAUAAAAAGCAAAAAAAAAAAAAAAACAAGCAAACCUCUUAAACCUGGUUUAAUCUUUAAAAGUCACGUCCCAAGAAAACUUUGACCCGGAUUCAAUCAAAAAACCUGGUUCUCAACCACUUUAAUUUUAAAGGAUGAGAUCAAUAAAAAACAAUAUUGAUAAUAAAAAACAAAAACAACAAAAAAAAAAUGAAGAUAAAAUUCGAUAAAAAAAAACAAAAAGAGAAUACAAUUUAAUGAAAAAAAUACAAAAAAAUCACAAAUAAAAUAAAUAUCAAUUAAAGUAAUAAGAACCGGACUUUAAAGACUAAAAAAAACAUAGGGUGUUAAAUUGAAAAAAACAUAUGUAAAAAUCAAGCCAACCUAAUCAAAUAUUCUAAACCUGAUUAAAUCUUGUAAACUCACAACCUAUGAAACCUUAGGUCUAGGUCCAAUUAAAAAAUUUAUUGUGGGCCAAUUUAAAAAUAAAAAUUUUAAAAACUUGUCAAAAAAAUCAAUAAUUAAACGAACAUCGAUUAAAUUUAAUGAAAAAAAAAAAGAAUGUUGAAAUCAUAAAACAAAACCAAUUUAAAAAAUGAUCCCAAAUAAAAACUUUUAAAAGCAUAAAAAUUAGCAAUAAAAAAAAUAUGGAUUAAAUUUGAUAGGAGAAAAAAGCAAAGGAGGGUGAAAUCCCAAAACAAAGUCAAUUUAAAAAAUGACUUAAGACAAAAAAGUAGCAAACAAAAAAAAGAAAAAGAGCCAAAUUUGAAAGAUAAGAAAAAUUAAGAGGUGAAAUUAAAGAGGCUCACCAAUUUUAUAAAUCAUUCAAGAUUAAAAAAAAAUUGUAAUAAAAAAAAGAAACCAAAUAUGAAGAACCAACAAAUUAAAAGGCUCUUCUUGAAUUUUUAAAGGGUUGAUAUGAAAAUAUAGACAGGAAAAAAGAAGAAAGAAGAAAAAAAUAAUCAUCGAUACUAAACCACUGUGAAUAAUAUGACAUGCACCGCCUCACUAGGUUUAAGAUAUCAAGACCUUUCAAACGUCACUCCAAAAUAUGAUGUUUGAUGGCAAUAUGACCCCUCAUAAGCCGCUAGAGUUGCAUGGCAAUACUAAGUUUUUUUUUAUAAAUUAUAUUUAAUAAAUAUAAUUUACAAUAGUAUCUUUUAUUACCUUUGAAAUUUAUAAUAAAAACAAAGCUAAAAAAAAAAAGUGAGUUUAAUUGGUUUUGUCUAAGGAUAUUAUAGUAAUUAUAUUGUUUCUAUAAAAAAUAAAAAUAAAAAAAUAUUUUUAAGUAUGAGGCAUUUAAUUAUUUUAUUAAAGGGUUAAAUGCCUAUUUUUAUCAUGUAUUAAAAAACAUAAUUAUCAAUUUCAAAAGAGUCUGUUUACCAUGAUUAUUUUCUAAAAUAAUUUUUAAAAUAUUUAUUUUUUAUGUUAAUAUAAUAAAAUAAUAAAAAAAUAAAAAAAUAAAUUCAAAACAAAAAAAAUUAAUUUUCUUUUAAAAAUGUUUUUAAAACAGAAAAAUAAAAAUACAACCGUGAUGCUAAAGAUAAGUGAUGACAAGCGACGAUAUAGUGGUCACGUCGGCUUGCACCGGAGAUGAGGAUGAUGAGGCAAGGAAAUUUGGCUGGAUGGCAGCCCAACCGAGGCUGCACAUCACAGCCUCUUCUGCGCGCUACGCUCUCUAGCAUUGUUUAAAGGUGCUUUUGCUAGGAGAUUUUUUAUUAUCUUUCAUUUAUUGUUCUUGUGCUGGCUUCGCAGCAUGGGAUAUCUGACCUUACGAGGGCUUGGAAGACCUGGAAAGGAGCCUUGCAACGUUGGCUGGAAGUUGUGAGUUCAUACAUUUUUGUGGAAAACCUUUAUUAUUCUACUAAAGUUAGCUGUUUUAAAUGCUUCUUCACGAGUAAAUUAAGUUGAUCUGUCUAAAUCAACUUAUAGGAAGCACGAAAAGCUUCUUCUUUCAACCUCAUGAAAUUUAGAUUUAUAAGUAAAAUCAUGGAGUUUUUGGUUAAGACAAUUUAUCAAACAAUGUUAUUUUACAGAUUGAUCCACGCCAUCGGGUUGGACACCAUUUAAACUUUUACUUUCAGAUCUGGAUGACUGUCAGGAGUGGCCAACCUUUCUUCUACUGGUAACAAGUGCUAAUGAAUUCUAUAAUCCUUGUUUAUUAAACCUGUGCAUAAAUGCCUUCGUUUCUCGUUCUUCUUCUACACUUCAAAUUUCCCUUUGGAAUUGGAGGUUGGACGCUGGCGAUGGAAAAACAGUAGAGCAUCUGGAAUGCUCAAGGGACACGCUGCGUCACGAACGCAAUACAUAUCUUGAACAAGUAUGUCUUAUUUACCCUCUCCUGAAGAAUUAUGUAUGCUUCAUCCCCUUGCCUGCAAAAACCCUGUUCUCAUGACGAUCCAAUUCAUAUUGAUAUGCUUGUUAGGCCUAUAUAGUUGUUAUUUUCAGCAUGUAGCGUUCCUAUGUGUUUGCAUGCAAAGAGCAUACUGGGAUGAAAUGGACAAAGGCACGUCAGAUCUUAGGUUUGGUUUUUUUUUUUUCCUUACAACUAGGAGGUGCCAGUGGGAGCCUCUCAAAUCUCGAAAUGAUCCCUCGGAUUUAGUGGUUUUUUCAUAUAAGUUUAAAGUCUUAAUAUUCUAUAUAUAACGUCCAUUUUGAAUAGAAACAAAGGCUAUAUUGGAGUCCAUAUUCUAUGCCUUAUGUGUAUAUUUUUUUGAAUGUGUAAACAAUUUUGGCAUUUCAAUAUAUUCUUCCAUUAGAGAGAUCUUAGCACACCUGAAAAAAAGAGAAAAAACCCUUGUUUUUGUCCAAAUUAGCUUUUCUGAAAGGAUUCAAAGCCUUUUUUAGGAUACAAAACUCUAAUGAAUAAGAGCUCGAAACAACAACCCUGGUCUAGAUAAUCCAAACCUAAAACUAGGUUUCUCGAAGAUGUCAAGUGCACAUGAAUUUGUGAUUUAGUUUCGAGAUUUAGCAGACCUUGAUAAUGAUUCCAUUUGUAUUGGAUCUCUAUACCGUUGUUGGGGCCUUUUCUUUUAACAUUAACGUUAACAUGCUCAAUCAAUGUGUUUGUGCAUUCACCAGGAAAGCAAAUCGGAGGCAGUUGAAUCCCUUAUGUCCCUUGUGCUCAGGAGUGAGAGCAACACCGAGAAAGAUAUAAAUAACAAUCAACGAGAGCAUGGCCGGGCAGAUGAAUUCAAUCAACAGGUUAAAACUACCAUCUCGAAAUUGUUUUUUAACAUUAAAUUUGGCAUUCCCAAUUAACGUGUUGGUGCAUUCACCAGGCAAGCAAUUCAGAGGCAGAUGAGUCCCCUGCGCCCUUGAUGCACGGGAGACAGGGAUCCAGCACAACAUCACGAGUUGUAGACGAUUUAAAUAACAAUCAACGAGAACCUGAUCGGGCAGAUGGAUUUGAUCAACAGGUUAAAACUACCAUCUUGAAAUUGUUUUUUAACAUUAAAUUUGGCAUUCCCAAUUAACGUGUUGGUGCAUUCACCAGGCAAGCAAUUCAGAGGUAGAUGAGUUCCCUGCGCCCUUGAUGCACAGGAGACAGGGAUCCAGCACAAUAUCACGAGUUGUAGACAAUUUAAUUAACAAUCAACGAGAACCUGACCGGGAAGAUGGAUUUGAUCAACAGGUUAAAACUAUCAUCUUGAAAUUGUUUUUUAACAUUAAAUUUGGCAUUCCCAAUUAACGUGUUGGUGCAUUCACCAGGCAAGCAAUUUCAGAGGUAGAUGAGUCCCCUGCACCUUGAUGCACGGGAGACAGGGAUCCAGCACAGCAUCACGAGUUUAGACAAUUUAAAUAACAAUCAACGAGAACCUGAUCGGGCAGAUGGAUUUGAUCAACAGGUUAAAAUACCAUCUUGAAAUUGUUUUUUAAUACAUUAACAUUGGCAUGCCCAAUUAACGUAUUGAUGCAUUUACCAAGGCAAGCAAUUUAGAGGCAGGUGAGUUCCCUGCGCCGUUGAUGCACGGGAGACAGGGAUCCAGCAAAACAUCACGAGUUUUAGACGAUUUAAAUAACAAUCAACGAACACACAACGGGCCGGCAGAUGGAUUCAAUCUAAAGGUCAAAAUCUACCAUCUCAUUAUUGCUUCAUAUAGCUAUGUAUAUUACAAUUAUUGCAAAUACAAAUCUUGAUUUUUAGUAAUCAAAUAAUACCCUCCCGGAGCAGGAUCUAUUGAGAAGAAUCUUCUAUACUAUGAACCUUCUGUUUGAGAUCGCAACUGCGGUUCUUGAGUACUUGUCUUCUCAGCAGCGUCAACCCCGGUAUGCGCUAAGUGGUAUGAUACUGUCAAUCACUGUCAUGGCCAUCUCCUUGAUUCAGCUUGCUUACACCGUUGGCAAGGAAGUGGUUAGUUCGCAGUGGAAGGGCUGGAUACCUUGGCUUUUUGGAAAUCCUGUUCAAGUUUUGGAAUUGCUUUUAUCCGUCUCCCAAUGUGUUUUUGCAAUAAUUGCCUACCAUUAUAUGUCUCGAGACCAAAACAAUCCCGCUCAAUUUUCUAUUUAUCCUAUAGCCUUUGCUUUUUGUUUGUUGUGUCUCAGUUUUAGACG
rnacentral:lncRNA from 1 species